AUUGAACGCUGGCGGCAGGCCUAACACAUGCAAGUCGAGCGGAUGAAGGGAGCUUGCUCCUGGAUUCAGCGGCGGACGGGUGAGUAAUGCCUAGGAAUCUGCCUGGUAGUGGGGGAUAACGUCCGGAAACGGGCGCUAAUACCGCAUACGUCCUGAGGGAGAAAGUGGGGGAUCUUCGGACCUCACGCUAUCAGAUGAGCCUAGGUCGGAUUAGCUAGUUGGUGGGGUAAAGGCCUACCAAGGCGACGAUCCGUAACUGGUCUGAGAGGAUGAUCAGUCACACGGGAACUGAGACACGGUCCAGACCCCUAGGGGAGGCAGCAGGGGGGAAUUUUGGCAAAGGGGCGAAAGCCUGAUCCAGCCAUGCCGGGGGGGGGAAGAAGGUCUUCGGAUUGUAAAGCACUUUAAGUUGGGGGGAAGGGCAGUAAGAUAAAACCUGGCUGUUUUGACGUUACCAACAGAAUAAGCACCGGCUAACUUCGU
rnacentral:rRNA from 1 species